rnacentral:rRNA from 1 species
UACGUAGGGUGCAAGCGUUAAUCGGAAUUACUGGGCGUAAAGCGUGCGCAGGCGGUUGUGCAAGACCGAUGUGAAAGCCCCGGGCUUAACCUGGGAAUGGCAUUGGAAACUGGCGGGCUUGAGUGCGGCAGAGGGGGGUGGAAUUCCGCGUGUAGCAGUGAAAUGCGUAGAGAUGCGGAGGAACACCGAUGGCGAAGGCAGCCCCCUGGGUCGACACUGACGCUCAGGCACGAAAGCGUGGGGAGCAAACAGG